AUUGAACGCUGGCGGCAGGCUUAACACAUGCAAGUCGAGCGGAGAUGAGGUGCUUGCACCUUAUCUUAGCGGCGGACGGGUGAGUAAUGCUUAGGAAUCUGCCUAUUAGUGGGGGACAACAUUCCGAAAGGAAUGCUAAUACCGCAUACGCCCUACGGGGGAAAGCAGGGGAUCUUCGGACCUCGCGCUAAUAGAUGAGCCUAGGUCGGAUUAGCUAGUUGGUGGGGUAAAGGCCUACCAAGGCGACGAUCUGUAGCGGGUCUGAGAGGAUGAUCCGCCACACUGGGACUGAGACACGGCCCAGACUCCUACGGGAGGCAGCAGUGGGGAAUAUUGGACAAUGGGCGGAAGCCUGAUCCAGCCAUGCCGCGUGUGUGAAGAAGGCCUUUUGGUUGUAAAGCACUUUAAGCGAGGAGGAGGCUACCUGGAUUAAUACUCUAGGAUAGUGGACGUUACUCGCAGAAUAAGCACCGGCUAACUCUGUGCCAGCCGCCGCAGUAAAAC
rnacentral:rRNA from 1 species